rnacentral:rRNA from 1 species
AGUAACACGUGGGUAACCUGCCUGUAAGACUGGGAUAACUCCGGGAAACCGGAGCUAAUACCGGAUAGUUCCUUGAACCGCAUGGUUCAAGGAUGAAAGACGGUUUCGGCUGUCACUUACAGAUGGACCCGCGGCGCAUUAGCUAGUUGGUGAGGUAACGGCUCACCAAGGCGACGAUGCGUAGCCGACCUGAGAGGGUGAUCGGCCACACUGGGACUGAGACACGGCCCAGACUCCUACGGGAGGCAGCAGUAGGGAAUCUUCCGCAAUGGACGAAAGUCUGACGGAGCAACGCCGCGUGAGUGAUGAAGGUUUUCGGAUCGUAAAGCUCUGUUGUUAGGGAAGAACAAGUGCAAGAGUAACUGCUUGCACCUUGACGGUACCUAACCAGAAAGCCACGGCUAACUACGUGCCAGCAGCCGCGGUAAUACGUAGGUGGCAAGCGUUGUCCGGAAUUAUUGGGCGUAAAGGGCUCGCAGGCGGUUUCUUAAGUCUGAUGUGAAAGCCCCCGGCUCAACCGGGGAGGGUCAUUGGAAACUGGGAAACUUGAGUGCAGAAGAGGAGAGUGGAAUUCCACGUGUAGCGGUGAAAUGCGUAGAGAUGUGGAGGAACACCAGUGGCGAAGGCGACUCUCUGGUCUGUAACUGACGCUGAGGAGCGAAAGCGUGGGGAGCGAACAGGAUUAGAUACCCUGGUAGUCCACGCCGUAAACGAUGAGUGCUAAGUGUUAGGGNGUUUCCGCCCCNUAGUGCUGCAGCUAACGCAUUAAGCACUCCGCCUGGGGAGUACGGUCGCAAGACUGAAACUCAAAGGAAUUGACGGGGGCCCGCACAAGCGGUGGAGCAUGUGGUUUAAUUCGAAGCAACGCGAAGAACCUUACCAGGUCUUGACAUCCUCUGACAACCCUAGAGAUAGGGCUUUCCCUUCGGGGACAGAGUGACAGGUGGUGCAUGGUUGUCGUCAGCUCGUGUCGUGAGAUGUUGGGUUAAGUCCCGCAACGAGCGCAACCCUUGAUCUUAGUUGCCAGCAUUCAGUUGGGCACUCUAAGGUGACUGCCGGUGACAAACCGGAGGAAGGUGGGGAUGACGUCAAAUCAUCAUGCCCCUUAUGACCUGGGCUACACACGUGCUACAAUGGACAGAACAAAGGGCUGCGAGACCGCAAGGUUUAGCCAAUCCCACAAAUCUGUUCUCAGUUCGGAUCGCAGUCUGCAACUCGACU